UUAUAGCCGCGAUGGAAACGGCAUCCUUUUUUGCCUGAAAUUUAUUGUCUAAUUAAAAAUAAAUUUUAAAAAGCAAAAAAGAUAUAGUGGACAGCGGGAAGAAUU
rnacentral:sRNA from 1 species